rnacentral:rRNA from 1 species
UACGGGGGGGGUAAGCGUUGUUCGGAAUUACUGGGCGUAAAGGGCUCGUAGGCGGCCAACUAAGUCAGACGUGAAAUCCCUCAGCUUAACUGGGGAACUGCGUCUGAUACUGGAUGGCUUGGAUUCGGGAGAGGAAUGCGGAAUUCCAGGUGUAGCGGUGAAAUGCGUAGAUAUCAGGAGGAACACCGGUGGCGAAGGCGGGUCUCUGGGCCGUAACUGACGCUGAGGAGCGAAAGCAUGGGGAGCGAACAGG